AGUGAACGCUGGCGGUAGGCCUAACACAUGCAAGUCGAACGGCAGCACAGGAGAGCUUGCUCUCUGGGUGGCGAGUGGCGGACGGGUGAGGAAUACAUCGGAAUCUACUCUGUCGUGGGGGAUAACGUAGGGAAACUUACGCUAAUACCGCAUACGACCUACGGGUGAAAGCAGGGGACCUUCGGGCCUUGCGCGAUUGAAUGAGCCGAUGUCGGAUUAGCUAGUUGGCGGGGUAAAGGCCCACCAAGGCGACGAUCCGUAGCUGGUCUGAGAGGAUGAUCAGCCACACUGGAAUUGAGACACGGUUCAGACUCCUACGGGGGGCAGCAGUGGGGAAUAUUGGACAAUGGACGAAAGACGGAUCCAGCCAUACCGCGUGGGUGAAGAAGGCCUUCGGGUUGUAAAGCCCUUUUGUUGGGAAAGAAAUCCAGCUGGCUAAUACCCGGUUGGGAUGACGGUACCCAAAGAAUAAGCACCGGCUAACUUCGUGCCAGCCGCCGCAGUAA
rnacentral:rRNA from 1 species